rnacentral:snoRNA from 1 species
UUUAAUACACACAAUGUCCUGGUAACCAUGUUUUAAAAAGUGUUUCCAUGUUUUCUGUCUGUCUGACUGUGGCAGCUCAGAUUGAAUGGGGUAAUACAAGG